rnacentral:sRNA from 1 species
GCCGGGUGCCGUGGCGCACACCUGUAAUCCCAGUGGCUAGGGAGGCUGAGACAGGAGGAUUGCGAGUUCAAACCCAGCCUCAGCAACUUAAGCAAGGUCCAAAGCAACUCAGAAAGACCCUGUCUCUA